UACGUAUGGUGCAAGCGUUAUCCGGAUUUACUGGGUGUAAAGGGAGCGCAGGCGGCACGGCAAGCCUGAUGUGAAAGCCCGCGGCCCAACCGCGGGACUGCAUUGGGAACUACCGGGCUGGAGUGCCGGAGAGGUAGACGGAAUUCCUAGUGUAGCGGUGAAAUGCGUAGAUAUUAGGAGGAACACCAGUGGCGAAGGCGGCCUACUGGACGGUGACUGACGCUGAGGCUCGAAAGCGUGGGGAGCAAACAGG
rnacentral:rRNA from 1 species